CUACGAGUGGCUGCAGUGGGGAAUAUUGCACAAUGGAGGAAACUCUGAUGCAGCAACGCCGCGUGGAGGAUGACACUUUUCGGAGCGUAAACUCCUUUUAUAUAGGAAGAAUAUGACGGUACUAUAUGAAUAAGCGCCGGCUAACUCCGUGCCAGAGCCGCGGUAAUACGGAGGUCGCAAGCGUUACUCGGAAUCACUGGGCGUCAAGAGCGUGUAGGCGGAUUAAAAAGUCAGAAGUGAAAUCCUAUAGCUUAACUAUAGAACUGCUUCUGAAACUCUUAAUCUAGAAUAUGGGAGAGGUAGAUGGAAUUUCUGGUGUAGGGGUAAAAUCCGUAGAGAUCAGAAGGAAUACCGAUUGCGAAGGCGAUCUACUAGAACAUUAUUGACGCUGAGACGCGAAAGCGUGGGUAGCAAACAGGAUUAGAUACCCCCGUGUC
rnacentral:rRNA from 1 species